CAACAGGAGGAACCGCUAGACGAGAAACUGAAGUACCUGAAUCUAAGGGAAUAUGAAGAAGAAGAAGAAGAUGUGGUCUUGGAGGAGGAUUUGGAGGAGUUAGAGAAGGAUGUUGACUUCAUGGCGAUAGCCCGGGUGCAUACUGCGAGAAAAUUCAGCCAUGGGGCUUUCUAUGGACCGAUGAGAUCUGCAUGGAAUCUUGCACAAGAAGUGGAAUUCAGAGCUAUAGAAGAUAAUGUUUUUCUCUGUCUAGCGGAUUGGGAGAGAGUCAUGCAUGAUGGGCCUUGGAUAUUCUGA
rnacentral:rRNA from 1 species